rnacentral:tRNA from 1 species
GCGGGUGUAGCUCAAUGGCAGAGCUGAAGCUUCCCAAGCUUACGACGAGGGUUCGAUUCCCUUCACCCGCU